GAGAUGUGAUUAUGAAGAGUUCAUCAAACAACAGUUCAUUGUUCAGGGUUUUCAUUUCUGUCAGUGUAAUAUCCAACUCACAGCUACUCUACACGUGAUAUCUACUGUAUUUCAUAAUUUCUAUAAAGUAAAUAUAAAAAAACUGUGAAAAAUACCCAUCAUAUGUCCCUGAGACAUCAUUAAAUAUCUUGUUUUGUUUGACCAACACAAAACUCAAAGAUAUUCAGUUUAAUAUGAUGUAAAACAAAAAGCAAAUUCUCACAUCUGAAAAUCUUAAAGCAUCAAACUUGGGGUGUUUUUGACAAAAAGACCUUAAAUGAAUAAUUGAUUAUCAAAAUAGUUGCAGUUUAAUCCUCUUUCAAUUCACUAAUUGAUUAAUUAACUAAUUGUUGUAGCUAUAAAAGAAACUCUGCUCUGUUUGUCUGUGGAUUUUUAGGCUAGUGUGAGAACUAAACAACUGGACAGGUCGACUUCCAAGGAAGUUCUAGUUUGGUUUGUUUGUGGUGUAAAAGGUCACUGGUUCCUGCUCUUCCAUUGUGAUUAUAUACUGUAUAUCUGUUUUACAUCAUUGUAAAUUGAAUGUUUUUAACUGUUAACGGUUGCUUGAUCAAAACAAGCAGUGAAUAAAUAAUAAUCAAUCAAUCAAAAAUAAAAAAGGCACAUUUUCCUAUGUAAAAUAAAAUGAUGACAAAGAAAAAGUGAAAAAAAAAACUAACUACUAACUGUAAAUGACAGCAAAUUGUGUUUGUAGUAAAGGAAGCAGUUCUGUCAUUUUAUUUUUGUGCCUUUAUUUUGAAGAGCACUGCUCUUCUUCUCCGUAUACUUCCGGUUGUUGCUGCCGCUAGACUUCCCGCUCACGAUUUGUCGUAAAUGACCUGCUCUCGUUGUUUCUGUUGGUAAGACAUGCAAACAAAUUAUUUACUUGUUAUAUUAUGUGUAGAAAUUUAUGAAAGGAAUUUUUUAUUGUGGUUCGCUUCAUGUUUUGUGUUGUUUGCAUGUCACGUUAAGGAAUGUCAGUGCGACGUGUAGGCGGAGAUAGGCUGCUAGCAGGCUGAACAUAAACUUAGCGCCCUUGGAAGCAGAAGGAGGUAUGGAAAGAUUAAUGGUGUUCAUUGUUAAACAAGUUGUUCAUUUCGUUUAAAAUAUAAUUUGUGUUAAGUUUAAAAAUGUAAACAUGUUUCUGUACAUUAUGUGUGUGCAAAUAAUAGGUACUGUGGUAUUUGUAUUUCUGUUCAUAUAGUUUUCACGGUGUCAAAAUUAGAGGAGAAGAAAAGAGGAGAGAAGUAAAGCAUGCACCAGUCGAAGCUCUCUGCAUUAUUUGGUUAUUCCAAGUGGGCCGCUACAGUGAAAACUCCCUGGCUACAACAGACCUGCCGUCCCUGUAGAGAAGCUGACGCCAUUUCAUCUGAGAUCCAGCUACCAACCUGUUCCCAGCCACCUAACUCCGCUCGCACUCACAUUCAGCACAGGCAAGAUUAAAAAGGACAGCACGCUGAAGGUAUAACUACAGAUGCUGAAAAAAGAGACAUUGGGUACCAAGGAACAAAAGGAACUAUUUAUGAACACAUACAGCACAACUGAAGUGCCUUAAAUACUAACAUAAUAUUUUGAGGUCAAAAUAAUUUGUGAGCUGGCUACUAACACAUAAUAGCUUUGAAAUUGGUGAAUAUUUCAAGACCAAUGGCACAUGUGUUUAUGGAAUAAUAAUUCAUGACAUGUUUGUUUAUGAAAAGUUGAAGGGUGAAGUUCUUUAGCUAUUAAUAUUUACAGCGCUCAUUUAUGACAUUGUGGUUACUGUUUUAUGACAAAAUCCCUUUGAAUGUCCAUAAUCUGUAAAUGCUUGAUAUAAGUACAACUCUGUGGUAAAAGAUAACUGCAGCUUAUAAGUGUGAAUUCAGGCAUAGGACAAUCAAAAGACACGCCAGACUUAAAGCAGUUACACAAACAAACAAGAUGUCACCCCCAACAGAGGAAACAGACAAUCCCACAGACACGCCACUCAGGUCUAGCUCACGUGAAAGAAAGCUAACAGAGAAAGGCCAAGAGAUGCAUGACCAAGACAUCAAAAAACGUGAAAAAACAUUUAACAAAGCCUAUAACUCUUGGAAGCUAGUAGCAAGGGAGACAAGGACAAAAUUAAAAACCUUCUGCUCAUUAGAAGACCUCAAUAAAUUACAUGAAGAUAUUCAAGCAAAGUACGAUGCUGUAAAACUACAGUAUGAACCUAUUCUACGUAACAGUAACACCACACCAGAGAUCGUCAAAAAAAUGGAUGCCUGUGGUGUACUGACCAUGGAAAUUCGUGACCUCAUAAGCAACCGUAUAGAGACUAUUAAUGAAGAUUAUAAUGAUCAACUUGAAAAGGAAAGAGUAAGAGAAACAUUAAACAAAAAUGAAUAUGGGUCUGUCUUUGGCCUAACUAAAACUGAAACUGUAAGUUCAUUCGAGUCAUUAGAGAAAUCGAGCAAACACUCUGGCUCAGCUAGUACCCACGGCAGUAGAGUAGAUGCAGAAGCAGAGCUUGCUGCUAAGCUGGAGCAAUCAAAGGCCAUGGAAGAAAUUCAAGCACAGCAAGCACAUCUUCACAAGUUAGAAAGUGAAUGGAAACUUAAAGAGGCAAAAAUGUUGUCAGAAAUGAAGCAAAGAGAGGUGGAAAUGCAACAACAGUUGGAACAAGAGAGAGCAAAACUGCAACAACUACAAGCAGAAAAGGAAGUUGCUAUCGCAGCAGCUCGUGUGAGAGCAUAUGACAGUUUUGAAGGUUUUGAGAACCACAAUGAAGAAAUCAACUACAAAACUAGCUCUGCGUGUUAUAAAAUAAAAACUGAGCCUCAACUGAAUCCAGACGCUGCUUCAUUCCAACCUCACCAGGCAGCUCCUGAAAUGACAAUGACCCAGGAGUCUGUCAGUCUAGCUCAAGCAAUCGCCAGCUCAUUAAGUAUGAAUCGCUUGCCAGUCCCUGAACCCACCACCUUUAGUGGUGAUCCUUUAAGGUUUACUGAUUGGAAGAUGUCAUUCAUGACUUUGAUUGACAGAAAACCACUCUCAGCGAGUGAGAAGAUGUUUUAUCUCAAAAAUUAUCUUGCUGGAGAGGCGCGCAAAGCUGUAGAAGGUUUCUUUUAUCGAGAUUCAGAGAAUGCAUACAAUGGAGCUUGGAAAGUUUUACAGGACAGAUAUGGUAACCCAUUCACCAUACAGAGAGCUUUCCGUGAUAAGCUCAUGAAAUGGCCAAAGAUCAGCACAAACGACCCGCUAGCACUACGAGAGUUCGCCGACUUUCUCCAAAGCUGUACUGAAGCAAUCCCAUACGUCAAAGGACUGACUAUUCUUAAUGACUGUGAGGAAAACCACAAGUUGCUCAAAAAACUGCCAGAAUGGAUUGUCCGAAAGUGGAGUCGAAUUGUUGUGGACGAACUUGACACAUCUGGCAACUAUCCAGAUCUUGCAUGCUUCACAGGGUUCCUGAGCAAAGAAGCACGGAUAGCUUGUAACCCUAUUGCUUCUCCACUGUUGAUAAAUUUCAAACCUGUAGAUGAUAGAAUCUCAAAGAGAGCCAAAGCCUUCAACACAAACACACAACCAAAGAGUUUCGCUCAGGAGAAACAAGAAACAAACAGCAGUAAACCAAAAUCACCUUGUUCUGUCUGUAAAGGUGAAGCUCAUGGCAUCACAAAGUGUCCCACUUUCACAACAAAGAGUGUUGAAGAUAAAAGGGCAUUCAUCCAUGAAAAUCGACUCUGCUUUGGAUGCUUGAGAAAGGGUCAUAUGAUCAAGGACUGCAAGAGGCGACACACGUGCAAUAUAUGCAGCCGUCGUCACCCAACCUGCUUGCAUGAAGACAGGAAGCAAAGACCUGUAGAAGCAAUAACAAAUAGCUCCACUUCCACAGAAGAACGUGCAAGUCAGGAAACACAUAAGGUCGUGUCCCAUACAUCAACACAACACGCUUCUGCUACCUCAAAUAUCGUCCCAGUCUUUGUGUCCUCAGUACAAGAACCACACAGAGAAAUACUUACAUACGCGAUACUGGACACACAGAGUGACUCAACAUUUGUCUUGGAAGAUGUACUUGACAAACUGAAUGUGAAUGUCCAGCCAGUAAAGCUGAAACUUAGUACUAUGACAGCCAUUGACACAAUCAUAUCAAGCAAGAGUGCUCAUGGUCUACAGGUUCGAGGUCUCCACUCGGAGAACUGCAUUCAACUACAGCAGGCCUACAGUCGUGACUUCAUCCCGGUGGACAAGUCUUACAUUCCAACGAAGGAAACAGCAUUACUGUGGCCUCAUCUCAGAAACUUGGCAGAUAAGUUACCACCCCUCCAAGACUGUGAUGUAGGGCUCCUAAUAGGAUACGACUGUCCAGCAGCACUGGCUCCUCUUGAAGUCAUCCUAGGUGACAGAAACCAACCGUUCGCACAGAGAUCAGAACUAGGAUGGAGUAUAAUAGGCUCAUCGAACCCCCACCUAGACAGACAAGGAAGUCAAAGCUUUGUGCAUCGGCUAACAGUAAAAGAACUGCCAGUUCCAUCGACGACAGAUGUUCUAAAGGCCCUGGAAUCAGACUUCAUUGAGAGAACUCAUGAGGAUAAACAUGUGUCCCAAGAUGAUGUUCAUUUCAUACAGUUCCUCAGUAACCACAUCACACAGAAGGAGGACAGGCAUUAUGAAAUGCCUCUCCCUUUCAAAGGCAACAGCCCGCCCAACCUACCAAACAACAAGAGGCUAGCCACAGUUCGCCUACAGUGUCUUAAGAAAAAAUUAAAGGCCAACAAACGAUACUAUGAUCAAUACAAAACAUUCAUGGAAGAAACAAUUAACAACGGUGAUGCAGAGCCUGCCCCUACAACAUCUGAGAGAGAGACAGAGUGGUACCUUCCACAUCAUGGCAUCUACCACCCCAGAAAACCGGAUAAGUUGAGAGUCGUUUUUGACUGUUCAGCCAAAUUCCAUGGUGUUUCUCUAAAUGACACUCUGCUAACUGGGCCUGAUCUAAUCAAUCCUCUAGUAGGAGUACUUUGCAGAUUCAGGAAGGAAGCCGUAGCCAUUAUUUGUGAUAUUGAAAGAAUGUUUCAUCAGUUCUCUGUCACUCCUGAAUCCAGGAAUUAUUUGAAGUUCCUCUGGUGGGAAGGCGGAGAUUUGGAGAAGGAACCACAGGAGUACAGGAUGGCGGUGCAUCUCUUUGGAGCCGCUUCAUCUCCUGGAUGUGCCAAUUUUGGCUUAAAGCAUCUAGCACGACAACACAAAGCUAGCUAUCCUCUAGCAUCAACAUUUGUGGAGAAAAACUUUUAUGUUGAUGACGGGCUAGUCAGCGUCCCAUCAGUUGAUGAAGCCAAACAACUGAUCUCUGAGUCGCAAGAGUUGUGCCAACGAGGAGGCCUGCGCCUUCACAAAUUCAACUCGAAUGAAGAAGCAGCGCUCUCUUGCUUAGACCCUUCUGAAAGAGCAGCAAACAUCGAGCCUCUAGGUUUUGAUCCAACGCCAUCAGAACGUGCUCUCGGCAUUCAGUGGUCAAUAAAGGAUGACACUUUCAGCUUUAACAUCACUUUGAAAGAUCAGCCUUCAACUCGUCGUGGUUGUCUGUCUGUCAUCGCCUCUCUCUACGAUCCACUCGGAUUCAUCGCUCCAUUCAGCCUAAGUGGAAAACGCAUCCUUCAAGAGCUUUGUCACAGAGGUAUCGGAUGGGAUGACCCACUCCCAGAAGAUAUGAAGCCACGGUGGGAGGAAUGGAUAAAUGGUCUUCUCAAGUUGAAAGAGGUCUCAAUUCAGAGAUGUUACCACCCACAUGACUUUCAUGACAUUGUCAGAGUAGAGUUACACCAUUUUUCAGAUGCCAGCUGCGUGGGAUAUGGUGCAUGUUCUUACCUCAGGUACAAAAAUGACAAGGACGAAGUCCAUUGCAGUCUCGUGAUGGCGAAAGCAAGGGUCGCACCCUCAAAGGUCACAAGUAUUCCAAGGCUAGAACUCGCAGCAGCAGUAGUUUCUGCAAAGCUCAGUGUCAUGUUAAAAUGUGAACUUGACAUGAAAAUUGAUCAAGAAUUUUUCUGGACUGAUUCACAAGUCGUACUUGGGUACAUCAACAAUGAUGCUCGUAGGUUCCACAUAUUUGUUGCAAACCGUGUUCAACUGAUUAGAAACAAUAGUAAUCCCAAUCAAUGGUAUUAUGUGGAUACCUCAGAAAACCCAGCCGACCACGCAUCCCGAGGUCUUCGCGCUUCAGACAUUCACUCAACGAACUGGCUGCGAGGACCAAAAUUUCUCUGGGAGCGUGAAUUACAUCUAACGCCCAGAACUCCAACAGACUUACUCGUCGGUGAUCCUGAAGUCAAAACAAUUCAGGUACUUGCAACCGAAACCAAUAACUGCAAUGACAUCCUCAGGCGUCUGAGUCAGUUUUCUUCAUGGACAACACUUGUAAAGGUGGUUGCAAGAAUCAAGAGACUGAUGUCUAAACAAAAACAACAUAGUGAACAUGUAACUGUCGAGGAGCGUGAGAAGGCUGCUGAGACAGUAAUUAAGAUUGUACAGCAGCAAGCCUUCCCCCAUGAAAUUAAAAUGCUUCAAAGUGGAAAAGACCUUCCAAACUCAAGCUCUCUCUUCAGUCUUGAUCCCUUCUGGUCUGAAGGACUUCUCUGUGUUGGUGGGAGAUUAAAACAGUCAUCUCUCUGUCACAAAGUCAAGCAUCCAGUCAUCUUACCAAACAACAGUCAUAUUACUAAGCUGAUUGUGUCCCACUACCACGCUAAGACAUGCCAUCAGGGUCGAACCCAGACACAAAUGGAGCUUAGGACCAAUGGAUUCUGGGUCAUUGGUGGGAGCAAGCUGGUUGCUAAGCUAAUACACACCUGUGUGCUUUGCAGGAAACUUCGACGGCCAACAGAGAACCAGCGAAUGGCUGAACUACCUAAAGAACGUCUUGAAGCCUCAGCACCUUUCACGUAUAGCGGCAUGGACUGUUUUGGCCCGUUCAUUGUAAAGAAAGCCCGCAAAGAAUACAAAAGAUAUGGACUAAUUUUCACAUGUCUGUACUCUAGAGCCGUCCAUAUUGAGAUGCUCGAAGAUUUGUCAACAGACUCAUUCAUCAAUGCAUUGAGAUGCUUCAUCAGCCUCAGAGGAGCUGUCCGACAACUACAUUGCGACCAAGGUUCUAACUUCAUUGGCGCCAGAAAUGAGUUUAAGGAAGCAUUUAAACAAUGUGACGCCAAACUACUGGAAAUCUUCUUGACUGAAAGGCAAUGCGAAUUUGUCUUCAACGCCCCUUCUGCCAGCCACGCAGGCGGUGUCUGGGAGCGGCAAAUCAGAACCGUUAGAAACGUGUUAAACGCCACCUUUGCACAGUGCCCGGGUCGACUUGAUGACGCCUCUCUCAGAACAUUGUUUUAUGAGGCCAUGGCUAUCGUUAACAGCCGCCCAUUAACAGUAGAUGGAAUCAAUGAUCCACAAGCGCUGGAACCUUUAACACCGAAUCAUCUCAUCAUGAUGAAAUCUAAAGUUGCUCUUCCUCCUCCUGGAGUAUUUGUCAAGGAGGAUUUGUAUGCUACAAAGAGAUGGAGGAGAGUUCAGUAUCUCAUUGAACAAUUCUGGGGUCGCUGGAAAAGGGAGUAUCUACUCAACAUAUCCACAAGAAAAAAAUGGCACUUACCUCAGCGCAACCUCAGAGUCAAUGAUAUUGUCAUCAUUAAAGACGACAACCUCCCAAGAAAUCAUUGGCAACUUGGACGAGUGGUGGAGACUGUUCAAGACAGCGAUGGCUUAGUCCGUCGAGUUAAAGUGCAAGUAGGAGAGCGAAAGCCUCAAAGAAAACAAGAUCCCCCAUCCAAACCUUCAGUUAUUGAGAGACCAAUCCAAAAGUUAGUGCUUCUCCUUGAAAAUUGAGUGGAACAGACAGAGUGACAACUGUUUGUGUACACAUUGCUUCAUUGUAUGAUGUUGUACAGUUCAAUUGCAUACCUCUGAUAGUUCAACAUAAAGUUAUUCAUUUAUUAGAGUCAAGAAAUCCUACACAAUUCAUUUCCUCUUUGUGUACUUGUUCAUUCAUUGUAGUAGGAUUUGGUGGGAGUGUAAAUGACAGCAAAUUGUGUUUGUAGUAAAGGAAGCAGUUCUGUCAUUUUAUUUUUGUGCCUUUAUUUUGAAGAGCACUGCUCUUCUUCUCCGUAUACUUCCGGUUGUUGCUGCCGCUAGACUUCCCGCUCACGAUUUGUCGUAAAUGACCUGCUCUCGUUGUUUCUGUUGGAAUGUCAGUGCGACGUGUAGGCGGAGAUAGGCUGCUAGCAGGCUGAACAUAAACUUAGCGCCCUUGGAAGCAGAAGGAGGUAUGGAAAGAUUAAUGGUGUUCAUUGUUAAACAAGUUGUUCAUUUCGUUUAAAAUAUAAUUUGUGUUAAGUUUAAAAAUGUAAACAUGUUUCUGUACAUUAUGUGUGUGCAAAUAAUAGGUACUGUGGUAUUUGUAUUUCUGUUCAUAUAGUUUUCACGGUGUCAAAAUUAGAGGAGAAGAAAAGAGGAGAGAAGUAAAGCAUGCACCAGUCGAAGCUCUCUGCAUUAUUUGGUUAUUCCAAGUGGGCCGCUACACUAACUGCUGUCAGAUUAAUAAACCUGACAAAG